CAUUAGGUUUUAGUUCUGUGGUUUCAGCAUGAUUUUUUUCAUGAUGUAUGACUCUAUUACUUAGUUGAUUGUGGGUUAGUUUUGCACUUCAGAUUUCUGUAGGUUGUCAGCAUAGUUUUUGUUCUCAGUACUAGUAGAUGGCUGCUGCAUCCAGUUGGGCAAGAAAGUAGCUGGGCUAGAUAAGAAAAGGUAGCUAGCUUCAGAAUGUGUAGAGAAUUUCCAUCCAAUAAUUUUAUUUCUGGCCAUUGGAAUCGAUUUCCUAUUCUUCUCGUGUAUGUACUGCUACUAGUGACAAAUGGUUUUGCACCUCCAGCUCAAAUUGAAGGAACGCAAUGCCUAGUAGUAGUUGUUGAUAGCAAAACAGAGUGCGGAACACAUGUGGGUUGCAAAUUAGCUUACAACUCUGUAAUCAAUCAAGAUUUGUAGCUGAUGUGCUAGAUCCAUCAAGACAAUAUGCACUGGUUAUCAACUGCAAAUGGAGAGAACUUCAAAUUCUGCAACCCAGGUUGAUUCAACCAAUGGAAUGCUGAGUUCAGAACCAUCACUAUCACCAGUGAUGACGAUCUCGGUCUGGAUGGUGCUCCAGGCGUUGCUGCUAAAGCGGGGAGGUUAAGUUUCAGAACUAGAUGGAACUAUUUCGCUGUUUCCAAUGAACUCGAAGCAGGUCUGGAUGUGAUGAUGAUGUUCUAUAUGACUUUUUCUCGCCAUGUCAAGAUGGAUUGAAUGGUCAUCCCCAGGUAUGACCC